CAAAUUAUUAAAAAAAAAUAUAUGAUAUUAAUGUGUCAUAUUAUUAGAAGAGAGAAAAACUAUACAUAUAUACAUAAUUGAGGAGAAAUAUUUGAUUAUACUUUUCUGUGUUAAAAAGAAAUUAUUUGACUAUACUUUAUUUUAAGGAAAUGAAAUAUAUGUUAUAGAUUUACUUGACUUUGAAUAUUUAUUUUUCUUCAUUAUAUAUAUAUAUAUCUAAUCUAAUCUAAUUAUAUAAAGGAGAGAUUCUCUCAACCCUCCUACAGCCACGUCAUAAAAUAGAGAUAUGAGAGCUUGACACGUGUCUAUCUUUCUAAUGAGCUUCACUAUUGUUUUAUGUUAAAGGGCUUAAACGUUUGGGCUUGAAAAAAUCGACAGACAAGGUCACGGCGUUCUCCUUUGUCGACCUUAGAUUAGGGCCAUUCGUUUUCUCAAGCACAGAAUGGGAAACAAUGAAGGCGGGUAGCUUAUGGGUUUUCAUGGCCGAGAGUUUCAGUCCCUAACAAAAGAAGCUUUCAUCAUCAUCCUAGAUUCUUAUUAAUGGAAAUCAUUUACGACCGCAGUUGUGGCUGAUGACAAGUCGAAAACCGGAAGAAGCAGUCUAAGUCUCAUUUUACGAAGCUUCUUUCCGGUAUCCACAUGUGUGUCACUGGUUUCAUAUGUUGUUGGCGUGUUGUCCUGUAAAUCGAGCGAAAUUUGUGAAUUCAUGAAGGUAAAACCGAACAACUCUCUCUCCCUCUAACUCUUAUAAGGUGAUGUUUGAGUAAUGUCGUUGUUUGGUGAAACUCCAGAUUAUGUUAUGUAUAGAACAUAAUGAUUCCACGUUCUUUAUAGGUGUGUGUCAGAUACGUAAUUCUUUAGUAUCCAAAGAAAACGGGUUACUUAAGAAUCAGCGGUAUCAGCUUCUAGAUAUUUUCUUUCUCUUAUUUACAUUAUGGGAUUAGUUUUUAACUUUAUACUGACAUGUUUGACAAAAAAAAAAAACAAAAAGAGUCAAUAUGCAGAGGAAAGAAAGGCGGAACAGAACUGAGGAUUUUACAUAGAUCCACUUAUUACUCUGUUCUUCUUAUUCUUCUCCUGGUUUUUUCACAUACUUAAAAAUUAUUGGCUUAUUCUUUUUAAUGGGGUUCAAGUAUAUUCACGGCUAAAUGAUCCGAGUUUUUAUUUUAUUCAAGAUCUUCUGGCCUUUCACGUUUACAAAAAAAAAUUUCAAGAAUCUACAACCAAUUAUUCUUCACUUAUGUGUACAUAAGCUCUAACAGUUGACUUCUCCGAAACAUUUUUUAAAAAGGGUAAAAGACAAUCUCUUGCAUUUUAUUUAUGAUUUCAGACAAGAUCGUAUAUAUAUUUGGUGUGGUAGUCUUAUCAUUGUUCUUUAUAUAUGUCUUGAUUGUUUCAACAUAUUCCUCAAAAAGAUUUUUAUUUCUCUGAACUAUUUUCUGGUGUAUGUAGUAGAAACCCUCCCCAAAGCAAAACAGGUGGUUUUUCCUUCUAUCAAUGACUUACACACUCUAAAAGUGUAUAUAAGGCAGGUGUUCAAGAAGUUAACCAAAGGCAGUUAUAUAUGGUCUAAGGGAAUGUAGGGAACAUCAACCACAGAUUACAAAGUUGUAAGCCGGUGAACCAAACAAUUAUGAACCUUAGUGAUACUUUUAGUUAAAAUAAUACAAUUUUUAAUUAAAUUUGUUUUAUCAGUUUAUUUACGGGCGGGUUUACCCUAGUAUAUAUAUAUAAAGAAAAGCACAACUGUUCAAAUUCACAUAAAUAUUCAACAAUUUUCUAACAAAGAAUAUCACUGAAAUUAUGUGUCCGCCAUCAACACUCCUCUUCCUGAUUCUAUCGAUCGUUGCAAUCGACUAUCUUCCUCUUGCAAGUUCCAGAGUAAGAAACCUCUCAGAGCAUCAGUGGUGUGUGACAGCUUUAUCGGCGACAGAUGUAGCCAAGGAAAUGUUGACUGUAACCCAAUCAAACCUGGUGGACCCUGGUUUGAGCCAAAUACUCUUAGAAAUCAUGCAUCGUUUGUAAUGAAUGAGUAUUACCAAAGUAACGGACGUACCGACGAAGCAUGCUAUUUCAAUGAUACGAGUAUGUACAUUAUUACCGUCUACCGAUCCAAGCUAUGGUGAUUGUGUGUAUGAAACGUAAGAAUUUUUUUUUCUAAUAAUCUUGAUUGUAGUUCGUGGAAUGUAUUGUAGGAUGAAGGAUUUCAAGGUUUCUUUCCUUUUUACAAAUUAUAUCAUGCGGACUCCAACGUUAUUCGUAACAUUAUGUAAGGUUAAUGAAAAAUUAAAGUAUUUUUUGUCAUUCAGAAUUUCAGAUCUAGUCAAUAUAUUACUAAUGACUUCGCUAUUGUGCUCGACAAUUUUUUUGAAUUCUCUCAGUGGCGGCAACUAGAUAUCCUUUUUUUUUAAUCAUGAAUCGCUCGAAAUGGAUUAUUCAAUUGGAUAUCAUGUAAAACUAACCAGAUUCAUUCAUAUAUUCUUAUCUAUGAUUCGUUAGAGUAUUGGUGUAGAUGAUGCUCGGAUUACAAAAAAUAAAUAACGGUUAGGGAAAAUAAGAGAAAUUAUGUAAAUUUGUAUGGUAGAAUAUAUAUAUGCCAAAACUAAUUAAUAUCUUAUCCACAUCUCCUUUCAACCGAUUCCCUUGGUCUAAUAUUUUGCAUACUAUUGUAACGACCCGGUUUUCACUAAACCGAUAUUGAAAUUGGUUUGAUUAUUUAAUUGGACUAAACCAAACUAAUCGCUAAACCAAAGCGAUAUAUAUAAAACCGUAUGCAUCUCCUUCCUCAUGUUAACCUAGCCGACAUUUUUACAAGCGGAAACCAGCGGGGCUUUUCAUCACCAACCACCAUUCGUCAUAGUCUUCAUCAGAGGAUCACCACCGUAAUGAUCAUCUCACCGGAGGAGGGUCUGAGAUCCUUGCCGCGCCGGAGCCUUUAUCAGCCCUCGUCAUGGCUGACUUAACCGAGAGAUGGAGGAGGAACGAUCUAAACUGGAGCUGUGGCGUUUAACACCAUUCACCACCAUCGUUAACCAUGAGCCAAAGGAGGAGCAAGCCAUGCCACUACGGACUCGUGCCGUGAUCACCGGAGUUUUAUCCAGCCACCAUUAUCAAGCCGUGUCCCACCACCGGAGUCAUCAUCUUAAUUAUCACCACCGGAGCCGUCGUCAUGCCACUGUCAUAAUCUUGUUGCAAUAGAUCCAUCGAUGUUACCAUGCUCUUGGCUCACGUCGGAUCCAUUCAAUGGAUAGCGUGAACAUGCGGAGACUAAGAAAGAGAGAGUGAAACCAGAUCCGUCAGCGUCUCGACACUACCAACACCGAUCAGCACCAUUAUGAACCGUGAGCCACCUGAGUCACAGCUCCCGUCGACGGAGUCCAAGAAGCUUAAGCCGUGAGGAUGCAAUCAUGCAACUUUAGUGUUACUUGUAUUUCAAGUAAUUAAUUCUAAAGUUGGACUGAGUUUUGUUGGACGAGAUCUUGGAGCAUUUUUGUGAUUCAUCUCCAAUAUUAGCUAAGGUGAGGGUCUUUUCCCGAGCUUCUCUUACACGGCUUAAGACCUCGAAUAAGUAUAAUUUAUUUCUAAUGUACUCCGUCUACGUGAGAUCGAGUCUGUCAUUGUUUGCUUAGUUUUAGGUUGUUUGCUUAACCGGAACUAGUGUGUUAGAUGGUUCAACAAUGCUUGUUCAUUUAUAAUUGAUAAUAUAUAUAUAUAUAUAUAUAUAUAUAUAUAUAUAGUAUAUGGAUGUGAUUUGGAUGAUAGUCGACCAUGGAUGUAUCGGCUGGAGACAAUACAUUGGGUGUGGUGGAUGGUGCGGCACAACGUAGUCGACCUGUUGUGCCAAGGCUUGGAGGUCGAUAAAUCGUCUACGGGCGUGUGUUACCGAGCACAUAUUCGGUGGUGUUUUUGGCCUGUUAGUGGGCAGCGAGUGUGCACCUCGCUAGGACCAUUUUUUGAUCUCUGGGUACUUUAGGUACCGUGUUUGAAACGUGUUAGAAUUAAAUUAUAUUUAUUUGGAGUGCUCUGUCCGGGUCCAUGGACUCCGGGUUUAAUAUCUC